AGUCCAGCGGGUGGUGGUGCGCCCACACGAUCCGCAAGCCUUAAAAUACUCCGCCACACCACGGAGUAUACAAUUGACCUGGCUGUGCGAGCCCAUCGACCCCUUUAAAUAGUACUCCUACUGUACGCGCACAGUGCAGAGAUCGUUUUUUAUACGGAAAGAUCGGUGGGAGCUGAUAGCAACAGGAGCGGCAUUAUAAAACCCACCGCGGUGGCGAGCGCAAAGGCGCGCGCGCGCCCCUCUCGAUCUCCAUGGAGCCCAGGUAGGUCCUCUGCUCCUCGCCGCCCGGCUGGUCGUCUCGUCUCCCGGAUUGGAAGGCUGCUGCCGGUGUGGAACAAGGUGGCGACACGCGAGAUUUCGCCGGCGAGCCGAGUCGGAGACGGUGGCCGCGAGAGGAGGCGGGCUGGCGGGGUGCCUUGGUGCUCGCUGUUCGAGUGUGAGGUAUACGUUGGUGUCGCUCGCCUCGCGGUUCAUUCGGUGCUUGGCCUUGGGGCUCUGCGACUGCCCUGGCGUCAUGCCUGAGCUCUGGCGAGAGCCUCCCGCGGGUCAACGGGGAGAGGGGGCCAGCGUGCCAGGGCCUGAGCCGGAGCGCGACGCAAUGCAAUGCGGCGACCGGCAGGGCGGGGUACCCACUGCUGCUUCGUCGGCCUCGGCGGAGUACUAGCAUGAUGACGCGAGGACUUUGAUGAGAUGUGAACCGGCGCGGCGUCUGGCUGGCCGGCAUGGAGCGGGAUUGGUCGUCGCAGAGUUCGAGCCAGGGCGCGCCGUUCGAGGUCGACCGUGACGCAGGGUCUGUAUCUGUAUAUGCUUGGACAGAGCCUGCGUGGUGCGGUUCCGUCCAUGUCAUUCAUGCUCGGAAUCGUUCAACAAGGACGGACGGGAACACAUCAUGCUUAUCUAUCUAUCUAUCCGUGCCGGCCGUACUAUUGUACAUUGCUUGCUUGCGUUCGUCUCCUUUCUAUGCCGACUGUUUUGGCUUUUCCAGGCUGCCGCUGCUUGCUGCAUUGUGAAGUUUUGGAUCUUGACCUGCUGCUUAAAUAACUCUUCCUGGUUGAUUUUUUUAUAAUUUAUUAGUAAUAAAUUAAAUAAAGAGGGCUGCUGAGCCCGGGAUAAUUCCGUGUCA